UAAUGUGCGUCCAUUAAGCUCUGUGGUUGGCCACGCCACCCUCUGCCUGUGAUAUAAUUGGGGCAGUUAGGGGGGCGUGGCCAACCACGGCGUUUAAUGGACAC